rnacentral:rRNA from 1 species
UACAGAGGGGGCAAGCGUUGUUCGGAAUUAUUGGGCGUAAAGAGCUCGUAGGCGGUGUGUCGCGUCGGCCGUGAAAACCUGGGGCUUAACUCUGGGCGUGCGGUCGAUACGGGCAUCACUAGAGUUCGGCAGGGGAGACUGGAAUUCCUGGUGUAGCGGUGAAAUGCGCAGAUAUCAGGAGGAACACCGGUGGCGAAGGCGGGUCUCUGGGCCGAUACUGACGCUGAGGAGCGAAAGCGUGGGGAGCGAACAGG